AUCUAACUUCCGCCAUGGAGGUAAACUUCCAAUGGAGCUAAGGAAGUUUACUAGACCUCUAAUGGACGUCUAUCUGACUUCCAUUAUGGACAUAGUCGUCCCAUGGAUCUAUGGAGGUUUAAUGGACGUCCAUUGAACAUCCACUGGAUGCCAAUUUCUAUGUGGGUCGAUACGUCACAUCCGGCUGUCAGCACACGUCCAGUACCUGCAUGCCAUCUACUUCCACCACGCGUACCAACCUCGCGUGACCAACCUUCGCUCCAAGUGUCGCGAGAUCUAAUUACAUUUUAUCCGUGUCUUACACUACUAUGUCCAAUCGCUUAUGUGCGCAAUCAGGACAGUCUCGGUAAUUAUGUUCCGCGUUAUUUGUCGCGUUACUAUAGUGUCCUACGGGGCACCACGCGUUGUUACGCUGCAUUUGCAUCGGUAUGGAGCUCCGUGUCAGCUUCCGCGUUAUAAAGUGCAAUGACCGGUACCGAGGUGAGUUCUUUUUUCAAUAACUCCAACGUUUUUAUACACGACGUAUCGAAAUUAUAUUCAGCAUCUCUUUUUCAGGAGGUUCUGUAACAACUUCGCUUUAAGUGCGAAGUCUUUGAUAAAUUUGCGAAAGUAGCUCAGCCCGAGGAACUUUCGCAUUUCGUGGUUUUUCGGCUGUUUAAAUUUACCAACCGCUUCAGUAUGCAUCGAGCUCAGAGUAAUCCCUUCGCCCGAAAUUAUGUAUCCAAGGAAUUCAACCUUGUUCCGCAAGAAUUGGCAUUUCGCAUAAUUCAGAUCAAAACGAUACUGUUUUAGAAUAAUCAGAACCUCCUUCAAAAUUCGUAGAUUUUCUUUUAUCGUUUCGAACGGGACGAGUACAUCGUUAAUGUACACUAUACCUUUUUUAAAAUUUCGCCGGCGCUUCAAAGUAUCCGAAGGGCAGGAAGGUGUACUCGAACUGCCCGUCGGGCGAAAAAAAAUACCUCGUGUGGUCGUUAUGCACUCUAAUCUGAUGGAAACUUUCGCGCAAAUCUAACAAAGUAAAAACAGAUUUAUUCGUAAGCCGAGAUAGACACUCCUCUAUUAUCGGAAACGGAAACUUUCUCGAUUCUGGCGUUUAAUGGACGUAAAUCUACGCACAGCCUGGUUAUCCGUUCUUUUUCUUCACCUGUAUUACGCGCGCGCAGUAAGGCAAAACGCUUUCUUUAAUUAUUCCGCGCUUCAGCAAAUCUUCUGUUAUUUCUCUAAUUUUUUUACGUUCGGCGUAAGCAAAUCUGCAGGGCGCGAACGCGUAGAUCGAAUCAUCUUUGAAUCUAACUCUCACUGCGUGCCCGUCGUCUAUCUCCUCUAACUUCAUCGCGCGCACUUCGUACAGUAAUUCCUCUAGCCUCUUCUUAAUUAUUAGAUCGAAAUCUACUUCUAACUCGUUUACUAUCCGGUCGAACUCGUCUUCCGCUUUGUUCGCCACGCACAAGGGUAAAGCGGAGAACAAGUCGACACGAGCAUCUAGUGGCCCCUGUUCGUGGAGCUUAUGCAAAAUCGUAAUUUUCUCAGUUCUAAAGAAGUCGCAUCCUAAAAUUAUAUCGCAUUUAAACGCUUCGUUUUCUAACACAUACAGCUUUAUAUUAUACACAUUAUUACCUAACAAUUACAACGAGAUUCCGGUUCAAAACGCGCCUAUGACCUUCAAAGUGCCGUCCCCCAGUCCUUUCAACUUUUGAUCCGAGGGCUCGAGCGCAUUGCCCUCACAGCACUCCGCGUAGCACCGUGUCUUUACAAAGAACAUCGGACUUCCAGUGUCUACCAGAGCUGUCAACUUACAUUUUUUACUUAAUCUUUACAGCCAGCUGCGUUACUGUGACCAACGGCUCUACCAGCUCCAGCCUCGUUCCUUCUUCGAUGACCGCCGCUGCCACCUCAUCGGCCGCCAUCUUUGCUGUCACGCUCGCCGCCGUCUGGGUAGCCGGGGGUUACUUCCUGGAUGCCUGCUGUCCGCCGCCUCUUUGGUCAUUCGGGCAAUCGGCUAUCCGAUGCCUCUUAUGUUUACACAGAAAGCAGUGUUCCUGCUGUCAAGAGGCCUUCCUCUGAGGUCGACGCGGAUUGGCCUUUCUUUCGUUCCGUCGUCUCAUUCGCAGUUCCCUGUGCCUUCAUCGGGAAGUCUACUCAAGUGCUCGAUGACGGCCUCCACGAGCGCUAUCUUCUCCGAGACCGCCUCAAUACCAUAACUCAGCCUCUCGCUGGAGCUGCUCCACCGUCAUAGCUUCUAGUCGUUCUCGCACGGAACGUGCCUUCGACGCCAUGCUGAAGCUCCAGUGACUUUCUCACAUAUACACACACACUCUGCGAUAUCGCGAUUCCACGUGCCCCUGCCGUUCUCGUCGGACAAGCACCGUCUCUGCAAUUCACUUGUCCGCGCGUCCGGUUUGCGCAGUUCGUUCACGCGUUUCGAUUUCAUGGAGCCCGAUACGCCUGCCCAUUGCUCCGAGCGCGGCGUUCUCCGGUUGUCCUUGCUCCACACACACGCACACACACACACACACACACACACACACACACACACACACACUCACACUACGAAUGGCGCGACGCGCUCUUUUGGCGCGCACGUCUUGAUCCCACUUCUGAACUAAAAGACUAAUUUUAACUGCUCGUUUAGAAGAUUCCGCUGGUGGCCGGAAUCUCCUUCUUUUUCCGCUAUCUAGCCGCAACGUCCCUGUUCUCAGGCGGUCCUGUUUCCUUUUCGGGUUCACCCGUUCCUCCGUUUCACCGGAGCACGCUGCGCACACGUGCCCACCGGUUCAAUCUUUGGAAUUAGUGCGGGGCGGGUUAGACAAAUAACCAAACACCGUCAUUAAAACUACUGCAACUAUAGAUAACUUUAUUUUCAAGUACAAGCUUUGGACUAAAACGGAUAUCACAGCAAACGCGGGACUGCCGCCGAACACCACCACAGUUCAAACGAGAGUGCCGAAAUCUCCGCGCCGCGCGCCGGUCGCUAACCAGAAUUUGUUCGCCCCGCUUCGACGCUUUUGGGGAGAAUUCUCGAACGUUCAGCAGUACGUCAUUUCCGCUCGGAGCUCGCGCCGACUCCGAUAUUCCGGAGUUGACCCAGCUGUUAUAGGGAUUAUGUAUUUCUAUUAUGUUACGCGUCGUCGCGGAAGUCCCCACGAGCUUUCGAGGUAAAGAAAAGGUAGUCGUGGCGGUAAUGAACUUUACUAGGAGUAAACUCAACAAACUUUAUUAAAAGAUAUAUGACGCCGGUUACAUGGCGUGAGUCGAUAACAAGAGCUAAUGGCGGACUGACUCGGCAGAAAAAACUGCCGUCGGAAACGAACUGCUUACAGCGCCACGCUGGCGCGGACAAUACGUAAAACUAGAGUGGAAACUCGCUAGUCGCCACAUACUCUUCUCCGAGGGUGCGUUCUUAAAUUCGCAACGAUGCAGCCUGAUACAUCCAGGUGCGUUCUUAAAUUCGCAAUUAUGCAGCCUGAUACAACCAUUUGCAUAACUUAGCCGUUCUUAAUUUAUGGUUGCGCACACUAAUUGAUAUUUAAGUUAAUCUUAGCCGUUCUUAAAUUCGAGUUGCAAGCAGAACUGCCGAAGUUGCUUGCAAUUUUUAGCAUCCCAGUUUAAGAAACUGCUGAAAGUUAAAGGGUGAAAGCAUAUGCGAUGUAAACUAACCCAGAGUAUUUUAGAUUAAGCGAACAUAACAGUGGCAAAAAAUCGGCAUGUUGAUUAUGAUUUAGACGGAUCUUAUUAUUGCGCAGAUAUUCAAUAGUAAAUAUAAAGUAAUAAUUAAGGAAUUAUGUCUAUUAACAAUUAUAAAUAGUAUUAAUAUAUGUGUAAUAAUAACAAUAAUAAUAAUAAAAGUAAUAAUAACAGUAAUAUAAUUAUAUGUAUAGUAAUUUACAUUUAGUAAAUGUAUUAUCCUAUAUAGUAGCAAAAAUAUGUUGACAAUGAGCUCAUAUUGGAUAAACAUUACUUAUAUAUUGGGACAGCAUUGCCCAAUGUUUUUUUCAAUAUUUCCGAAAGUAACGCUAAAAUUGGUUAUAAAAUAUUGAUUCCAAAUUAGAAUUCAAUUAAUGUCCAAUAUGAAAAAUUAAUUCAACAUUGACCAAGCGUUAAACCAAUAUUGAACUAAUUGCUGCUUAAAAACUGGCUAAAUAAGAUGAAGCGUCCACUUUAUAAUAUUGAAUAUUAUUGGGAAUAUUGUCUUUACUUUAAUUCUCAAUAUUGCGUCAAUGUUUUUGCUACUAGAAUAAAUGUUUAUUAAAUAUAAUUGAAACAUUACAAUAAUUGUUGUAAAUCCUUUUUAAUUUAUAAAUUAAAUCCUAUUGCUCCUAUUUUAGCAAUAUCCAUCUAUUUAUAUAUAGAUGGAUAUUGCUAAAAUAGGAGCAAUAGGAGGUUUUCUCACAAUAGCUACAUCUCAAUUAUUUUUUGAAGAGUCUUCAUCUUCUAAUGAAUACGAGGAUGUUAUGCCAUUAUUUGUAAAUAUUAUUUAGCUUUAUUAUUUAAAAUUAUAAUCAAUAAACAAAUAAUAAUAACAACAUUAGUAGUAACAAUAAUAAUAAUCCUUUAUAGUCAAUAUUUAAUACAAGUUUCUUAAAUUUUUAGUUACAAAAAAGAAACGUAUUAAAAGUACUUAAUUUUGAUAAACUAUGUCUUUCCAUGGACGAUCUUACUUUUCGAUCACAUUUUCGAUUAACCAAAAAAA
rnacentral:misc_RNA from 1 species